rnacentral:misc_RNA from 1 species
UACGGAGGAAGCUAGCGUUGUUCGGAAUUACUGGGCGUAAAGCGCGCGUAGGCGGUCCAUCAAGUCAGAGGUGAAAGCCCGGGGCUCAACCCCGGAACUGCCUUUGAAACUGUCAGACUGGAGUCUCGGAGAGGCGAGUGGAAUUCCGAGUGUAGAGGUGAAAUUCGUAGAUAUUCGGAAGAACACCAGUGGCGAAGGCGACUCGCUGGACAAGUACUGACGCUGAAGUGCGAAAGCGUGGGGAGCAAACAGG